CUUCGCCCUUCUCCGUGAUUGUAAAUUUCCUGAGGCCUCCCCAGUCACGCUGAACUAGUCUUGCUUUCUCACCCAAUCUGGAGUAGAGUGGUACAGUCUUGGCUCACUGCAACCUCCACUUCCCGGGUUCAAGCAAUUCUCCUGCCUCAGCCUCCUGAGUAGCUGGGAUUGCAGGCACCCACCAACAUACCAGGCUCAGCUCAUCAUGAAGAAUGUCCAUGUGACUUUGGUUAAUAAAAUGUGAGGAAUCCAAAGUUCAAGAAAAGUUCAAAUAACCCACUCACAGUUGCACAGCUAGAGGGAGAGCUGGGAUAGAUCUAUAAAGCUGCAACUCCUGUGCACACAGAAAUAUGAAGCCACUUUCACCCUCUGGAAUCCUUCAGCUGGGCCUGGUGGCUCACACCUGUGAUCCCAGCACUUUGGGAGGCUGAGGCGGGCAGAUCACUUGAGUACCUGCUACAUAUCUCCAUGAUUGAGUCUGCUUACUGAGAGAAUAAAAGACAAGUUUCCAGAAUUUUGAGAAGAAGAGGAAGAAGAGCAGGAGGAGAGAGAGGAAGAAGACAACAAGAACAAGAGCAAGAACAAAGCAGCUUAUGUAAAAUACUGACAGCUUACUGCAAUUUUACAGCAUUCCUCACAAGGUGGUUCAGAAUAGAUCCAGUGGACUGUAGUCUGUUUAACUGAGACCUCACACAUAAUGUCAUGGUUGACAGUUACUGGUUGAAGGAAAUCCAUGUUGGGCUUCUGUGGAUGCUGGAUUCUUUCCUUCUGAGAAGAAAUAUAACACACUGACUUUGAGGUGAUGGUGGAGAAAAAGUACAAGCAGAAGACUUUUCCCAACUUCUCCAUAGCCUACAUGCGUGUGGAAACACUUCAGGUUAACCACUUGAAGCUUCAGAGACUGCAGUGAGGCCCUGGCAUAGGAACAUGCUCAUCACGGGCAUGUUCACAGAGCAAAGCAGCCAGCGUGACUGCAGCACAGAGUAGGAAGGGUGUGGAAGGAGAUGAGAGAGAAUGAAGAGGGAAUCUUUGAACUUGAUUACCAAGGAGAUGGGAUGAUAAAUCCAUCCAGCCACUCCAAGAAGCCAAGUUAAGGGAUGGAAGCACUGAUGAAGAGCACAGACAGAAUCAAGUGUACAUGCAGAACAUAUGGUAACCAUAUAAAGGGAUGAUGUCAAAAUUCUCAGCCUCCUUGCUCUUCAGUAUCUUCUUCCCCUUUACCUCGUCUGGAUGGUGUAUAAUGAAGAGGCACCUAGCGGUGCCUCCUGCCUCUAGAGUAAGAUUCAAGGGAGGAUAUAUAGGCUCCUCCAUAGGGUCAAGAGGUUUUCAAAGGCUGUGUUGUCCCAUCCAGCUACCAAAACAAGAGACAAAAUUGUGACCUGGAGUUGAAACUCUAGUGAGUGAUAAAGAGGGGAAGUUUCCUAAAGCAGAAGUUCUCAGUCUGGGGGCUAUCUGUGUGUUGUGUACUGAAUUUUGUGUCCUCCCAAAAUUCAGACGUUGAAGCCCUAGUCCCCAUUGUGGUUGUAUUUGGAGGUGGGGCUUUGGGAGAUGAUUAGAAUUAGAUUAGUUCAUGAAGGUGAAGCCCUUCUGAUGGGAUUAGUACCCAUACAAGAAGAGACACAAGAUCCCUCUACCAAUUAUGCUAGCUCUCCUCUCUUUCUCUCUCCACCGUCUGGGAUACUUCAGGAAGAUGUCUGUCUGCAAACCAGGAAGAGGUCCCUCAAGCACUAAAUCUGCUGGCACCUUGAUCUUGGGCUUCCCAGCCUUUAGGACUGUGAGAAAUCUUUGCUGUUUAAGCAAUCCCAUCUAUGGUAUUUUGUUACAGCAGCCCAAGCUGACUAAGACACUGUGGAUACCUUGCAUGCCUGGGAGGCUUGCACAUCCUUGGACAUUAUAAGUAAUAUUUUUCUGAAAAGGGGUCAUAACUCUCAUCGGAGAGUCAAAAGACCAAGUCUAUGACUCCCAAAAGAUUAUAUACCACUGACGGAGUGGCCCUUGUGUUCUUAUCCUGUAGAACCACAAGAAACUUGAGGAUUGGGGAUCCUAGUCCUGGCCUUCAUUCCGUACUUGCAUGACCAACAUCUAAGAGUACUAACAAAUAUGAUGAAAUAAGAAAGAUUCAAGAGGAUACACAUAUUUUCUUUGUCCAAUGUUGCUAAUAUCCACCUGAGAGUUUAUUAUCCAUAAUAAAAUGUGGAAUCCAGUCUGUACACCAUGA
rnacentral:lncRNA from 1 species